GAGGGAUAUUGGCUCUCAAAAAUUCGGCCCUUUGGUGAAAAUUGGGGUUUUGAGAGUUUCUACCUCCAUUGAAGCUUGAGGAGCCAUCAAUCCUUGGUUGUGUGACCAUUGGUGGAUUGAGACAUUUGGACCAACCGUGAGUGAUCAACCAUUGGAGCAAGCUAUGGAGCUUGAAUAGCUCAUUGGAAUUGGUGUAUGUUUGUAAAAGUUGAUUGCUGAAACUGUUGGUGAAGAACAAAGGUUGACUGAAGCAUUGAGGUAAGGAUGCUGCAGGAGCCUCUGGUGGCAAGUGGCCAUACCUAGAUUAUGCAUGAAAUAUGGCACUUCUUUGAGUUUAUGCAUGCCUUUUGUAGUUGACAUGUAUAGGAUUUUAUUUUGAAAGCCCAUGAUCAUUUGUAUAUCUUGAUUCAUUGGAUGAACUUAGCCUAUGCUCAUGCCUUUGGUUACACCUUUUGUUGAUGGGAGCCAAGGGAAUGAUCAUAGUGUUUUGUAAGCUAAGUUCUAUGAUUUGUAAAGGAUAUGUAAUGUAAAUGAUGCCUACUUGGAAUUCAAUAUAU